UGAGUAAUGGCGAACGAAAAGGGAAUAGCCCAGCGCCGAAGCCCGCUCUCGAGAGGGAGCCGGGCUAUGUGGCGUUUAGGAGUGAGCGUGCCGGCGGUCGACUCUGCAGCAAGUCCCCCUGACCGGGGCUGUUACCCAGAGUGGGUGCGAGGCCCAUAGCUGCUAGGUGUCCGUCGGAUGCGAUCUCCUUGGAGUCGGGUUGCUUGGGAGUGCAGCCCUAAUCGGGUGGUAAACUCCACCUAAGGCUAAAUACUCCCGUGAGACCGAUAGCAAACAAGUACCGUGAGGGAAAGUUGCAAAGAACUUUGAAGAGAGAGUUCAAGAGUACGUGAAACUGCUCAGAGGCAAACGGGUGGGCCCUCGAAAUCCUGUGGCGGGAGGAUUCAGUCUCGCUCGGCGGACGUGUCGUCGGAGAUUCCCAUAACGGUUCCGCGGAGGCGGCCGCUCCGAUGGCUCGUUUUCGUCGGGCAGGACGCAUUUGUUUCCCGUCCGAAGGACCCCGCAACCGGUUCGGAAACGGCCUUAAGGGGGAGCGACGGCAGUUGGCCGGUGGCCCGCGUACCCGGUUUGUCGGCUGUUAGCCAGUUCCUCGCACGGCUCGUGGCCGGACCGGGGUGUCGCAAGGCCUCUCGUAGGCUGUUUCGCCUCCUCCGUUCGCGGACGCCGGGAUCCCGUGGCAGGGGUUCGCACUGUUCUGCGGGCCCCCGGCUCGACUCCGUGGCCCAGCGGCUGUUUGCGUCCUCGUAGGCUGCGGUGAACCCGUCGGAGGUC
rnacentral:rRNA from 1 species